GCCCGAGAGCAUCGCCGCUGGGACCGUUGGAAUCGGUAAAUUCGAGGGCAACAUGGCGUAAUGCGGAUUCGCACCCUCGCUCGGUGCUAUCGACGUAAUUUCAUUAAUUUUGUGUCUCUAUUGAUGGGGGAUUCGAUAUCGGCUCUAUCGACACCGGACUCAAACUACACGAGGACGAAUUUUGCUUCUUACAUGAUAAAUCCAACACCGGUAACUCCGCCAACUGAUCGCGCGAUGACCUCUUCGGCGUCGACGUGAAAUCCAACGCUUGCUCGUUCUCCAUCGUCGAGGGAAUGAAAUAUUUGCUCGAAAAAUCCGAUCGAAUCAGCGAUUCACUGGGACGAACGAAGUUAACAGAGAAGGAAUAAAAUGUCUGAGAAAAUGUUAGUUUUAUAAACACCAUUCGAAGAUUUGAGAAAACACGUGUUUUCAUAGGAACCAACGAAUCUGACGAGUUCUGGCGACAUCCAAUUUCAGCCUUUCGCGAGGAUGGACUCACCGCUGCUUCGUGUGAUUUGACUUUAUUUGGCAAUCGUGCAAAGGAGAUUUCCAGUUCUUCAGUGUCCUCUAAAAUGAUUUUGUAAUAUCGUGAGCUUUCAAAAAAAUUUGGAGCACGUGAAAAAGUGUUUGGCGACGCUGUAAAUGUCGCUCGGAAAAUCCGAGCAAAAGAAGCCCCUCUCGUUUGGUCUCCUCGACGACACCUAAUCACUGGGAACGUCUUGGUGGGAAUCGUCGAUUUAUAUCGAUGUAUGAGCGUGUACAUUUGUCCAUAAAUAUCUGCACAGCCUCCUCUAAAAGGAGUUGAAAUGUGCGUGGCACUCGUCCGAGGACAGGAGCACACAUCCGUGUUUGAGAAGGGUCGGCGCGGUUCCCACUCGCUUUUCGUUUAUCCGCAUUCAAACGGUAAUGCCCGCCUCUUUUUCGAUGUAUACAAAUUUUUGCUCUUUUGGCCACAUAACCCACAUUUCAAUGGUGCCGGUGUGUGUCCUCGAAAUUUUCUCGAUGGUGCCGAACAACCGCAACCCGUUAUUCCGAUUUUUCGUCCCAGAAAAAGCAGCACCCCGGCACAAUCUGAGAACGCUCUUUUUCGCCCCUCAAAUACAUUUGCAUCUGCCAUGACUGAGACCGUAGAAUUUUCAAAACUCCCCGAUUAUUUUUCCUCCACUCUUCUCACUCCUUCCAUCGCGUUUCUUUCUCCCUUCGACUCUAACGGGAACUUUUUCGCAACGGAUUGUUUGCACGCCGGAUUUGCGAUUUUCUCUAUUCUCCCUUUCUGUCAGCGUAACGUCUCAAUUCUCUCGCAGGCUCGCCGUACCUCGUGAGGAAAAUCCAAGCACAGAUGCGCGCAUACGAAGAGAGAGGGUUGCGGUCCGAUGCGCUCAUUUGAAUCGUUUCAUUUUACAAUCUUUUUCGUAUCGCCGAUACUUCGUGAGUUACCCUUAAGAUCGUGCCCGAAGGAUCGUGUUUUAUGGGUGUCUAUAAAUUGGCUCGAUUUUUACUUCCCAAUUAAAAAUAUCAUCACUCUGAAUUAAUGUCAGAGCUGUUAA